rnacentral:rRNA from 1 species
UACGAAGGGUGCAAGCGUUACUCGGAAUUACUGGGCGUAAAGCGUGCGUAGGUGGUUUGUUAAGUCUGUUGUGAAAGCCCCGGGCUCAACCUGGGAAUGGCAAUGGAUACUGGCAAGCUAGAGUGCGGUAGAGGGUAGUGGAAUUCCCGGUGUAGCGGUGAAAUGCGUAGAUAUCGGAAGGAACACCAGUGGCGAAAGCGGCUUCCGUGGUCCAGCACCGACGUCAGGCACGAAAGCGUGGGGAGCAAACAGG